GCCGAGUAGUGUUGGGUCGCGAAAGGC
rnacentral:misc_RNA from 1 species